AGAACCAUGGUUGGCCAUGUGGGAGUCCCAGCACUUUAGCCACCACGCCACCUGCUGGCUCCUACAAUUACUCUUUAAGAAGCUAACAACUGCCGAAGGAAAACUUUCAGCAAGUUUUUCCAGGAAGUCCACAUCUCAGGAACGCCCGCACCGAAGGCAAAGAGCACCCCCCUCCGUCUGCACAACCAACUAGAGACCAGGGCUCCUCGGGGUUAACCGAAGCUGUUGCAAUGUGCAAAGGUCUCACUCUUUUGGACAGCAGCCCAGAAGAGCCCGCACCUCGAGACAACAGCCAAAGGAAAAAACCUGGAGACUCGUACCCUGGUCUAGAUGUAAAGGUUCUCCUUAAAUACCUUUUGAUAUGCCUGGGGAUUUCUCAAGAAGUCUCGGGGAGUGCUCAGGAGCCAUGCAGGAGGGCCGAGUCUGCCUUCCAGCAGCACGCGUGAUCGAUGCCCAGGCAACUUCUCUGUUUCUGCUGUAAUCUUCGGGAGUCAUUGAUCGUGAGCACGCGCACACCUAACUAGCUGUGCUGGCUGUCAUUGUCUCACCUUCUGAGCAUCAUUUUGGAUUAAACUGCUCUGCUGGUCAAAAUUCCUCUGUGCUAGCUCUGGAUUCUAUUAUUAAACUGGCUUAAGAA